GCCGCCGUCUUAGGGGAGUAGUCUCUCCGGAAGAGAUUUCUUUCUGAAGUUUCUUCCACGGCAAACGUCAACAUAUUCGGCCCGCAGGCCGUGGCGUUUGCGACCCGCCGUCACCUUGGGUGACUGGGUCUGACGAGACCUUU
rnacentral:sRNA from 2 species